rnacentral:rRNA from 1 species
UACGUAGGGGGCAAGCGUUGUCCGGAUUUACUGGGCGUAAAGAGCGUGUAGGCGGCCAAGCAGGUCCGUUGUGAAAACUGGAGGCUUAACCUCCAGACGUCGACGGAAACCGCGUGGCUAGAGUCCGGAAGAGGAGAGUGGAAUUCCUGGUGUAGCGGUGAAAUGCGCAGAUAUCAGGAAGAACACCAAUGGCGAAGGCAGCUCUCU